ensembl:lncRNA
CUACUUUUCAUUUUCUUAAUGAUAUCUUUUAAAGUUCUAAAUAUUGAUGGAAUCUCAUUUACCAAUUUUUUUCUUUUAUACAUCAUUUUUUUUGUAUCCUAGGAAAUUCUUGCCUACCCUAAAUUCACGAACAUUUUCCCUUAUAAUUUCUUCUUAAAGUUUUAUAGUUUUAGUCUUUCAUAGUUAGGUUAAUAGAUCCUUUCAAGUUAUUUUUAUAUAUGGAAAUAAAGGGUUGAGGUCAAUUGUUUACAUAUGGAUAGCAGGUGUUCUAGUAGCAUUUGGUGAAAACAUUAUCUUUUCCUCUGCUCUUAAAUUGAGUUUAUGUUCUACAAAACGUUAAUGUUAAAUAAUCUUUCAAAAAUGUGUGGUUUUAUUUCUAGAUUCUGUUUUAUUCCAUUGAUCUAUAUGUCUUUUCUUACGCCAACAUUGCCUUGAUUCCUGUAGCUUUAGAGGAAGUCUUAAAAUUAGGUAAUAAAUAUUUUCCAACACUGUUUUUUUUUUCUUUUUACUUUUCCAGGUCCUUUGUACUCCUAUAUAACUUUUAAAUUUCAAUAUCCAAUUCUUCAUUUAUAGCAAGUAUACAUAGACCUGAAUUUUUAUAUAUACCUUGUGUUUUCUAAUCCUGCUAAAUUCAAAUACAAAUUCUAGGGGCUCCUCAAGAUUCCUUACUAUUUUCUCUGUAAAUGAUCAUUUCAUCUACAUAUAAAGAUUUUACUUCUACCUUGCCAAUCCAAUGCUAUUUGUUUCUUUUUAUUGCCAGACUAUUUUGGUUUGGGCCUAUGUUUCAAAGUUUAAUGGACAGGUGAAGAGUAAGCAUAUCUGCCCUUGUUCCCCACCUUAGGGAGAAAGCAUUGUAUCUUUUCCAUUCAUAUAAGGUGUUUUUGCUGGAAGUAUGGAGUAUAUGUCUUUAAUCUGUUGAGCAGGUUCUGUUCUACUUCUAGUCUCCUGAUAGCUUUUACCAUGAACAGCUGUAGAAUUUAGUCCAAUACUUUUUCUACAACUGAUAGGAUUAUAUGGCUUUUUCCUUUCCUCUGUUAAAAUGAUGACUUACGGGGGUGGAUCUUCCAAUGCUGAACCAACACUGCCAUCCCUAUAAUAAAACCACGUACUACAUACUGCCAGAUCUGACUUCUUAUAGUUUGUUUUGCUAAACAAAUUUUUAUUUAUGUUCACACUUUUCUCUUCUAUUAUCUUUAUCCAGUUUUAGUAUUAGCACAAUGUUGAUUUUCUAAAAUGAGGGGAGAAGUGUUCCUUCUUUUUUCUGCUUUAAAUGUUUGAUAUAAUUAAUCAGUUAAAAUGUAUAUGAGCCUGCUGUUGUCAUAUAGGUAGGUUUUCAAGCUAGGAAUAUACUUUCUUUAAUAGGUGCUAUUCAAAUUUUUUAUUUCUUCCAGAGUCAGUUUCAUUAAUUUGUCUUCCAAGGUAUUUCAUAGAAGAUGUCAAAUUUAUUUCAAAAAAGAUUUUUGUAAUAUGCUUUCCAUAUCCUUUUAAAUUCUGUAAAAUCUGUGGUAAUGUCCUCUAAAUCUUGAUAUUUUAAUUUUUAAAAAUGUAUAAUUGUUCAAUCCCUGGUACCAAAAAAAAUGUAUAAUUGAUAUUGUGUAAUAGGAAAAAAAAGGUCUAAAGGAGUAGGGG